CUCGAUAAAAUUUAUAUGUGACCCAGUAAAAAGUUAUUGCGAAUUUUCGAGAGUUUCCCUCGAUUUCUCUAGGAUUCCAUCAUCAGAUCCUGGUUUCCUUAUCAUGGUACUAAACUAGGGAUAUCCCCUUUCCAACAAAAAAAGAAUUAUCAAAAUCGGUACAUUCAGUAAAAAGUUAUGCGGUAUAAUACAACGUAGGUCGACGAAAAAAGCGUCAAGUAAAAACGCAUUAUUAGAUAUAGCUCGAAAAGUAGUUGUUAGAUCUCAAAUAAAUUUAAAUGGGACCAAUUGGCACACACCACCUUUCGAUGAAAACAAAAUUUGUCGAAAUCGGUCUACCCGGUCAAAAGUUCUGAUGUAACAUACAUAAAAAAA
rnacentral:misc_RNA from 1 species